CAAGAAAUGUCAUAGGAAACUAUUAAUCUAGAGGUCAUCAGAGGUAAGUGGAAUUCACGGAGUAGUGGUGAAAUGCGUAGAUACCGUGAGGAACACCAGAGGCGAAAGCGGCUUACUAGGAUGAACCUGACACUAAAGCGCGAAAGCGUGGGUAGCAAACCGGAUUAGAUACCCGGGUAGUCCACGCCAUAAACGAUGGAUACUAGUUAUAGGAGGCAUUGACCUUUCUGUAACGAAGCUAACGCAUUAAGUAUCCCGCCUGGGGAGUACGACCGCAAGGUUAAAACUCAAAGAAAUUGACGGGGGCCCGCACAAGCAGCGGAGCGUGUGGUUUAAUUCGAUGAUAAGCGAAGAACCUUACCAAGGCUUGAAAUAUAUCUGACAGCUAGUGAAAGCUAGUCUCCUUCGGGCAGAUAUACAGAUGUUGCAUGGCUGUCGUCAGCUCGUGCCGUGAGGUGUUGGGUUAAGUCCCGCAACGAGCGCAACCCUCAUCGUUAGUUACUAUGUCUAGCGAGACUGCCUCUAAAAAAGAGGAGGAAGGUGGGGAUGACGUCAAGUCAGCAUGGCUCUUACGCCUUGGGCUACACACACGCUACAAUGGCCAGUACAAAGGGCUGCAAAGGAGCGAUCCGGAGCUAAUCCCAUAAAGCUGGCCCCAGUUGGAAUUGCAGGCUGCAACUCGCCUGCAUGAACGCGGAGUUGCUAGUAAACGCAGGUCAGCACACUGCGUUGAAUACGUUCCCGGGCCUUGUACACACCGCCCGUCAAGUCAUGGAAGUAGAAAACACCUGAAGUCGUUGGGCUAACCCUUUUGGGAAGCAGACGCCGAAGGUGGGUUUUAUGACUGGGACUAAGUCGUAACAAGGUAGCUGUACCGGAAGGUGCGGCUG
rnacentral:rRNA from 1 species